AACAUAUACUUAUUGUGUUUGAAGAUUGAUAAUUUGAUACGGACAAGAAGGGAAUAGAAGACAAAUAUAAAAAUGUUUAUUCCCAUCCCCACUUUAUAUAUUAUUGGCCUUAUUCGAUUUUCUUCUCUCUUUUUCUUUUAUAACCAUUUAGUUAUCUAUGUUUGUCGCCAACUCCAAAUCUGCAUCUUUUUCUGUUGUCUUCUAGU